rnacentral:rRNA from 1 species
GACGAACGCUGGCGGCGUGCUUAACACAUGCAAGUCGAACGGUCAGGCGCCUUCCUUUUUGGUGGGUGUGGAUGAGUGGCGAACGGGUGAGUAACACGUGAGUAACCUGCCCCCUCCUUCUGGAUAACCGCAUGCAAGUGCGGCUACUACGGGAUAUUCUGGGUCUGUUGGAUGAUGGGUCUGGGAAGGAUUUUGUUUCGGUGGGGGAUGGGUCCGCGGCGCAUUAGCUUGUUGGUGGGGUGAUGGCUUACCAAGGCGACGAUGGGUAGCCGGCCUGAGAGGGUGGUGGGCGACCACGGAAGGACGGAGAGGCGGCCAAGACUCCGGGGGGAGGCAGCAGGGAGUAAUAUGGCACAGGGGGAGGAAGCCUGGAGCAGCGACGCGGCGGUGGUGAUGGUCGUCGGCGGGUAGUGAACCGCUUUCGCGAGAGAAGCAGUCUUGAAGCGUUUGUGGGUGGGUUGACGGUAGCUAAAUAAGAAGCGCCGGCUAACUACGUG